rnacentral:rRNA from 1 species
GAUGAACGCUGGCGGCGUGCCUAAUACAUGCAAGUCGAGCGAACAGAUGAGGAGCUUGCUCCUCUGACGUUAGCGGCGGACGGGUGAGUAACACGUGGAUAACCUACCUAUAAGACUGGGAUAACUUCGGGAAACCGGAGCUAAUACCGGAUAAUAUAUUGAACCGCAUGGUUCAAUAGUGAAAGACGGUUUUGCUGUCACUUAUAGAUGGAUCCGCGCCGCAUUAGCUAGUUGGUAAGGUAACGGCUUACCAAGGCAACGAUGCGUAGCCGACCUGAGAGGGUGAUCGGCCACACUGGAACUGAGACACGGUCCAGACUCCUACGGGAGGCAGCAGUAGGGAAUCUGCCGCAAGGGGCGAAAGCUUGACGGAGCAACGCCGCGUGAGUGAUGAAGGUCUGCGGAUCGUAAAACUCUGUUAUUAGGGAAGAACAAAUGUGUAAGUAACGAUGCACGUCUGGACGGUACCUAAGCAGAAAGCCACGGCUAACUACGG